CCUACGGCGGUGGCAGCAGUCGAGAAUCAUUCACAAUGGGGGAAACCCUGAUGGUGCGACGCCGCGUGGGGGAUGAAGGCCUUCGGGUCGUAAACCCCUGUCAUUUGUGAACAAAAGCUUUCGGUUAAUACCCGGAAGAAUUGCUAGUAGCAAAAGAGGAAGGGACGGCUAACUCCGUGCCAGCAGCCGCGGUAAUACGGAGGUCCCAAGCGUUGUUCGGAUUCACUGGGCGUAAAGGGUGCGUAGGCGGUCGGGAAAGUUUGAUGUGAAAGCUCCGAGCUCAACUUGGAAAAUGCAUUGAAAACUAUCCGACUAGAGGAUUGUAUGGGAGACUGGAAUUCUCGGUGUGGCAGUGAAAUGCGUAGAUAUCGAGAGGAACACCAGUGGCGAAGGCGAGUCUCUGGACAAUUCCUGACGCUGAGGCACGAAAGCUAGGGGAGCAAACAGGAUUAGAUACCCUGGUAGUCCUAGCCGUAAACGGUGCACGCUUGCUGUGGGCGGAUUCGACCCCGUCCGUGGCGUAGCUAACGCGUUAAGCGUGCCACCUGGGGAGUACGGUCGCAAGAUUAAAACUCAAAGAAAUUGACGGGGGCCUGCACAAGCGGUGGAGUAUGUGGCUUAAUUCGAUGCAACGCGAAGAACCUUACCUGGCCUUGACAUGCAUCUCUAAGUCGGUGAAAGCCGGCGAGGUAGCAAUACCAAUUUGCACAGGUGCUGCAUGGCUGUCGUCAGCUCGUGUCGUGAGAUGUUGGGUUA
rnacentral:rRNA from 1 species